rnacentral:rRNA from 1 species
CCUACGGGUGGCUGCAGUGGGGAAUAUUGCACAAUGGGCGCAAGCCUGAUGCAGCCAUGCCGCGUGUGUGAAGAAGGCCUUCGGGUUGUAAAGCACUUUCAGCGGGGAGGAAGGCGUUAAGGUUAAUAACCUUGGCGAUUGACGUUACCCGCAGAAGAAGCACCGGCUAACUCCGUGCCAGCAGCCGCGGUAAUACGGAGGGUGCAAGCGUUAAUCGGAAUUACUGGGCGUAAAGCGCACGCAGGCGGUCUGUCAAGUCGGAUGUGAAAUCCCCGGGCUCAACCUGGGAACGGCAUUCGAAACUGGGAGGCUAGAGUCUUGUAGAGGGGGGUAGAAUUCCAGGUGUAGCGGUGAAAUGCGUAGAGAUCUGGAGGAAUACCGGUGGCGAAGGCGGCCCCCUGGACAAAGACUGACGCUCAGGUGCGAAAGCGUGGGGAGCAAACAGGAUUAGAUACCCUAGUAGUC